rnacentral:rRNA from 1 species
UACGUAGGUGGCAAGCGUUGUCCGGAUUUACUGGGUGCAAAGGGCGUGUAGCCGGGCUGACAAGUCAGAUGUGAAAUCCGGGGGCUCAACCCCCGAACUGCAUUUGAAACUGUUGGUCUUGAGUAUCGGAGAGGCAGGCGGAAUUCCUAGUGUAGCGGUGAAAUGCGUAGAUAUUAGGAGGAACACCAGUGGCGAAGGCGGCCUGCUGGACGACAACUGACGGUGAGGCGCGGAAGCGUGGGGAGCAAACAGG